rnacentral:rRNA from 1 species
GUUGCCUACGGGACGCAGCAGUGGGGAAUAUUGGGCAAUGGGCGCAAGCCUGACCCAGCAACGCCGCGUGAAGGAAGAAGGCUUUCGGGUUGUAAACUUCUCUUGUCAGGGACGAAGCAAGUGACGGUACCUGUCGAAUAAGCCACGGCUAACUACGUGCCAGCAGCCGCGGUAAUACGUAGGUGGCAAGCGUUAUCCGGAUUUAUUGGGUGUAAAGGGCGUGUAGGCGGGAAUGCAAGUCCGAUGUGAAAACUAUGGGCUCAACCCAUAGCCUGCAUUUGAAACUGUAUUUCUUGAGUGCUGGG